AGUUGCAUUUUUUGGUGGCUUUUUUAUCGUUUCAUUGACACUUGUUCAUCAAGAUAAUUAAACUGCUUGGACCACUUAAAUCGAGCCCUAGUGAGGCCUUUUUAAUAUUACACUAUUGAGAUUAUAUUUUGAUUCUUACUUCAUAGUACCUGCAGUAUCAAACAUACUUUAUGUAAAACUUGUGGCGUAAUGGUUUAAGUUUUGGAAACCGAAGGUUGGAAACCCACAAGGCCCGAUCCACAAUAUCGCAAUUGCAUAUGAUAAAUUUAACAUUACAAUACUAAUUACUUGAGGAACUGGGGUUUUCAAGUCUUAAAAUUCACACUCUGGACUACAUCAUCUCUGCUUUAUUUGCAUUUGUUUUCAGGGUUCAAAAUGCUGCCACCCCCUUCAAUCCACAGUGCAUCAAAUAAAGACCCCUGUCCAGAGUGUGGAAAAUCCCAAAGGACUGGGUGGAGUGAUAAUACAUGAUCAAGAGACAUUCACCAUUAACAAGCCACACUUGGUGGCAGUUCCUGAUCAUAGAGCCUUGAUUAGGGGGAAAAGCUCUGUGAGACCAGUUCUGUUUUAAAAGCAAGUGAAGAGGAGAAAGACAAAUGCUUUGCAAGACUUGAACAUCUCCGCUUCCUUUAUACUUCAAAUAAAUUCAUUUCAUUUUCACCUGA